rnacentral:rRNA from 1 species
UACGGAGGGUGCAAGCGUUAUCCGGAUUCACUGGGUUUAAAGGGUGCGUAGGUGGGUUUGUAAGUCAGUGGUGAAAUCUCCAAGCUUAACUUGGAACUGCCGUUGAUACUAUAAAUCUUGAAUGUUGUGGAGGUGAGCGGAAUAUGUCAUGUAGCGGUGAAAUGCUUAGAUAUGACAUAGAACACCAAAUUGCGAAGGCAGCUCACUACACAAAGAUUGACACUGAGGCACGAAAGCGUGGGGAUCAAAACAGGG